GACGAACGCUGGCGGCGUGCUUAACACAUGCAAGUCGAACGGAAAGGCCCUGCUUUUGUGGGGUGCUCGAGUGGCGAACGGGUGAGUAACACGUGAGUAACCUGCCCUUGACUUUGGGAUAACUUCAGGAAACUGGGGCUAAUACCGGAUAGGAGCUCCUGCUGCAUGGUGGGGGCUGGAAAGUUUCGGCGGUUGGGGAUGGACUCGCGGCUUAUCAGCUUGUUGGUGGGGUAGUGGCUUACCAAGGCUUUGACGGGUAGCCGGCCUGAGAGGGUGACCGGCCACAUUGGGACUGAGAUACGGCCCAGACUCCUACGGGAGGCAGCAGUGGGGAAUAUUGCACAAUGGGCGGAAGCCUGAUGCAGCAACGCCGCGUGCGGGAUGACGGCCUUCGGGUUGUAAACCGCUUCCGCCUGUGACGAAGCGUGAGUGACGGUAAUGGGUAAAGAAGCACCGGCUAACUACGUG
rnacentral:rRNA from 1 species